GUGCAAUCCCUGAUGGACGCCACUCCUGAUUGUCCUGGGCUUGCUUCUUGCAGGCCUAGCAGCCCCUGCCCACGUCCACCUGAACCAGAUUAGUAGCUUUCCCUGGGAUAACUGGGACAAAGGGAAGGACCCUGUGGUGAUCAAAAGCCUGUCUCUGGAAGCUGACCCCAACGUCGUUCCUGGGAACGUGAUCGUCAGUGCUGAGGACAAGAACCAGUGUCCCCCUCAAAUCUCCUCUGAAGGGAGGAAUUAACUGUAGAGAAGGAAGUGUCUGGCUUCUGGGUCAAGAUCUCAUGCAUGGAACAGAUUGGCAGCUGUGCCUAUGAAAACUUCUGUGAUGUGCUUGAUAUUUUCAUUCCCCCUGGGGAGCCCUGCCCAGAGCCCCUGCAUACCUAUGGGCUUCUUUGCCACUGUCCCUUCAAAGUAGGCACCUACUCACCAUGAGUGAGUUCACUGUGCCUGACCUGGAGCUGCCCAGCUGGCUCAGCACCAGAAACUACCGCAUUGAGAGCAUCCUGAGCAGCGGAGGAAAGCGUCUGAGCUGCCUCAAGAUUGCUGUCUC
rnacentral:lncRNA from 1 species